CCAAAAGAUAAUCUUUCUUCGAAAGAUCUUUUCCAUUGUGCUGGCUUUGACCGUUUGUACUUUUGGGACUUAAACAUGGCUUCUUGUAAGUCGGUCCCAAAAAUAUUAUACCAACCUUAUGAAAAUUGACUGAACAAGUAAAACAAUUGAUAAUUUUGUUUAAAAA
rnacentral:misc_RNA from 1 species